rnacentral:rRNA from 1 species
ACACAUGCAAGUCGAGGGGCAGCAUGACCUAGCAAUAGGUUGAUGGCGACCGGCGCACGGGUGAGUAACACGUAUCCAACCUACCGGUUAUUCCGGGAUAGCCUUUCGAAAGAAAGAUUAAUACCGGAUAGUAUAACGAGAAGGCAUCUUCUUGUUAUUAAAGAAUUUCGAUAACCGAUGGGGAUGCGUUCCAUUAGUUUGUUGGCGGGGUAACGGCCCACCAAGACAUCGAUGGAUAGGGGUUCUGAGAGGAAGGUCCCCCACAUUGGAACUGAGACACGGUCCAAACUCCUACGGGAGGCAGCAGUGAGGAAUAUUGGUCAAUGGACGAGAGUCUGAACCAGCCAAGUAGCGUGAAGGAUGACUGCCCUAUGGGUUGUAAACUUCUUUUAUAUGGGAAUAAAGUGAGCCACGUGUGGCUUUUUGUAUGUACCAUACGAAUAAGGAUCGGCUAACUCCGUGCCAGCAGCCGCGGUAAUACGGAGGAUCCGAGCGUUAUCCGGAUUUAUUGGGUUUAAAGGGAGCGUAGGCGGACUAUUAAGUCAGCUGUGAAAGUUUGCGGCUCAACCGUAAAAUUGCAGUUGAUACUGGUCGUCUUGAGUGCAGUAGAGGUAGGCGGAAUUCGUGGUGUAGCGGUGAAAUGCUUAGAUAUCACGAAGAACUCCGAUUGCGAAGGCAGCUUACUGGACUGUAACUGACGCUGAUGCU